rnacentral:rRNA from 1 species
CAGUCGCCACGGGAAUACAGAGGGUGCGAGCGUUAAUCGGAUUUACUGGGCGUAAAGCGUGCGUAGGCGGCUUCUUAAGUCGGAUGUGAAAUCCCUGAGCUUAACUUAGGAAUUGCAUUCGAUACUGGGAAGCUAGAGUAUGGGAGAGGAUGGUAGAAUUCCAGGUGUAGCGGUGAAAUGCGUAUAGAUCUGGAGGAAUACCGAUGGCGAAGGCAGCCAUCUGGCCUAAUACUGACGCUGAGGUACGAAAGCAUGGGGAGCAAACAGGAUUAGAUACCCGCGUAGUCCCUGUCUCUUAUAC